GGCUGGUUAGCUUAGUUGGUUAGAACGUGGUGCUAGUAACACCAAGGUCAUGAGUUUGAUCCCCAUGUGGGCCA
rfam:Mus musculus chromosome 13, GRC primary reference assembly.